UACAGAGGUCCCGAGCGUUGUUCGGAUUCACUGGGCGUAAAGGGUGCGUAGGCGGUCGAGUAAGUCUGACGUGAAAUCUCCGGGCCUAACCCGGAAACUGCGUUGGAAACUACUUGGCUAGAGGAAUGGAGGGGAGACUGGAAUACUUGGUGUAGCAGUGAAAUGCGUAGAUAUCAAGUGGAACACCAGUGGCGAAGGCGAGUCUCUGGACAUUUCCUGACGCUGAGGCACGAAAGCCAGGGGAGCAAACGGG
rnacentral:rRNA from 1 species